AUGGGAUCUGGACUUUCUGAGCCCCUGCCCUCUGAGGGUGUCUAUGAGGACAUCGAACCUGAUCAUGUGGAGGAGACAGAGGAGAGGCCCUCAAUGUCUGGAGACCCAGUGCUGGAGGAUUAUGAUGACAUAGAAGAGCCUCAGCAAAGCCAUGGGGAGGAAGCAGAGGAAGAGUCCAGAGUUCUCCUCAGCCCCUUAGGUGUGCAUCUCUGUGCCUGUGGGUUCAUUGUGCUCUUCUUGCUCUACUGCUUCUACUCAGAGAGCUCUGCUCUAGUUGAUGCCUAUAUUUAAAAUAACUGGGAGAUGUUUCUCUGUGUCUGUGAUCUUCAUUUCCCUGUCAAUCCUAGGAUGUUGGUCUGUUCUCAUAUCCCUUCAAGAAGUUCCUUAGAUUGGAGUCUUCUCAUUGACAUUUGACGUUGGGUCAGGGAAUUUCUUUCUCUUCCUUUGGAUAUCUUUUGUAGCUGUUUAAAGUGUCUUUUUAGGUAGUUGGGUUGGGGGGUUUCAGGUUAGCGAUAAUCUUUGUGUCAUAUCACCAACUAUAUUGAACCUGUGUCAGCUUUGCAGGAGCUUUGCUUUGCAUUGGGAUUCCAGUAGGCCAGAACUCCUGGGGUUCUGAGAAAUCUCUGAGGAUUGCAAUGCUUGUCUCUCUCCUUAAAUGCAGAUGGGGCUACUCUCUGCCUGAGACCUGAAGCUUAGCCAGGGAUAAAGUCCUAUUGUUGACCAUAGCCCAUCAUAUGAUGCUCAUGAGCUGACCAUGGAAACCAUGAAUGUUCUCAGAGCAUGAGAAGAACAUAGGAGCCUGGGGUCUUCCUUAUCCUCUUUCUUAAAGAAGAUGUUAUUAAAUAUACUUUGAUUUCACCCAUUCGUCAAUAGUCCUACCUGGAAGGUUUUAUCAAACUGCACCAUGUUUCUCCUGUUCUGGGCCCGUUUCUCUGCCUCACCUUGGAUGUUUAUAUUUUUGUGUGACACAGGCUUUUCAUGUUUCAAGCUCAUACAUGUCCUUGCAGUUCUUCUCAGAUUAUGAAGUGGCCUUCCUUCAUAAAGCCCAUGUGGUAACCCCUCUUGUCAUCUUGUCCUCUUUUAAUGAGAGGUGGAUACACCUGAAACUCAACUCUCACAACUGUCCUGUUUGAUCCCGACAGGUCCUUGAGCACAGUCACACAGAAUAACUCUGACCAUUUUCAACUAAGACCAUAUCCUGAAUGUCUAUCUGGGACCACUUUUGCACACUAAACCAAUCCAUACUCUCACCCUCACAUCUAUCUCCAACCACAGACCCACUUGUGAGCACCAAAUAUGACCUGCCCCCAGUGUGAUCAAAGCCUCUGUGAACACUCACAUCCAAGACCUCCCUCCAUGACUUCACUCUCUCUGGGAAAAAAUUGCACUGUUACCCUCUUCCUUGUGAUGUCUACAGUCAAUCUGUACUGAAUGGAAACAUUUGUGGCCUGAUGAAGGAUGAACCCUCAUGCAGUUCUGGUGGACAAUUUGACCCUCAUAUUGUUCUGCUGUACAAUUGACUCUCAUGAUAUCACAGGGGAGAAUAAGACCUCCCAGAAUCCUUCUGGAGAAUGGGCAUGCCCUGCCAGACAGCAUAGAGGCCUUGUGAUGCUGGCAGUAAAAAGAAUUUACCAACAAAGGAUAUAAUAAAGGAAUAUACUUAGAUCACUGGGUACAGUGGCAAAAAAUCAGUGGGUAGGUUUCCAAGAGAAUACAUACAGUCAGGGUGAAAGAUUGGAGGGAAUGAAAAUCUGGGAAAAGGCUUGAACUGGCAAAAGUAGAUAUUUUAGAAAUGCAUUUUCCAGGGCAUCCUGUUCUUUGUUAAUCUUUUAGGAACAUCUAUAUUGUAACUGAAGUUGUACAUCAAAGUUGCAAAUUGUCAAGGCCCCAGAAAAGGCUCUUUAGACUUAAAUGAGGAUAUCCAUAUAUGUUAACUUUUCAGGAAAAACAACAUUAGCUCAAGGGAGGAGUGGGUAGUUUCUGUAUUUACUUUUAUCCUGUGCUGAUUUUAGUCCUCUUUAAGUAGUUCUUGAUCAGCAAGUGCUGGACAUUUUUUAGUAUAUGUACUGCUGGAGCAAGCACCUGGACACUUUUUUUUUAAUGGAUCCAUAUUAGUAAUACAGGAUAAUGAGAUUCAUUUUGGAAAAUUGAUAUGCGGACACAACUUGCAUGAAUAUUUUUGCACAUGUUACAGCCCUCUCCUUUUCCCUUAAUCUUUCCCAGAUCCCUUAUCAAAAAAAAUGUAGGUGCUGAGAACUUUAACCUUCUUGUUACAGGUCCCCAUAGCUUUCUGGCAGAUAAUGGACCCUCAUAAUGUUAAUUUUCUAAUGUCCAUUUGUAUCUCCUUUUCAGAGUACUGUAGUUUUUGUUGUAGAGGUCUUUCACUUUGGUUAGGUUAAUUCCUGAAUGUUUAAUUUUUCUUGUUGCUAUUGUGAAUGGUAUUGUUUUCCUAAGUGAUUUUUUUCGGUGGGAUUAUUAUUGUUCUACAGAAACUGUCUUGGUUUUUGGUGUUGAUUUUCUGUAUUGUUUCAUUGCUGAAUUUAGUUAUUAAUUCUAGAAGUCUUUUGGUGCAACUUUCUGGGUCUUCUAUGUAAAGGAUCAUGUUAUCCAUAAAUAAUGAUAAUUUGACUUCUUUCUUUCCUAUAUGUAUCCCUUUUAUUUCUGUCUCUUGCCUGAUUGCUCUGGCAAUGUUUUGUGUACUAUAUUGAAUAAAAGUCGUGACAGUGAUAUCCUUGUCUUAUUCCUGAUUUUAGAAUGAAAGCUUUUGGCUUUUCCCCUUUUGAUACCAUGUUGGCUAUUGCUUCAUCA
rnacentral:lncRNA from 1 species